UACGUAGGGUGCAAGCGUUAAUCGGAAUUACUGGGCGUAAAGCGUGCGCAGGCGGUUAUGUAAGACAGAUGUGAAAUGCCCGGGCUUAACCUGGGAACUGCAUUUGUGACUGCAUGGCUAGAGUUUGGCAGAGGGGGGUAGAAUUCCCAGUGUAGAGGUGAAAUUCGUAGAUAUUGGGAAGAACACCGGUGGCGAAGGCGGCCAUCUGGACCGCAACUGACGCUGAGGCGCGAAAGCGUGGGGAGCAAACAGG
rnacentral:rRNA from 1 species